GAGGGACGGGCGGGCGCUCAGAUCCAUUUUCACUCUGCAACCAAAGAAAAUGUUCAACGAUGAUAUCAACAACAACUGAGAAGUAGAGGCACGUUUUCGCCCCCUGGUGGUGAUUCAGUAACCUGUUACAUCCGUCUGCGUGAGAGAUU